rnacentral:rRNA from 1 species
GACGAACGCUGGCGGCGUGCUUAACACAUGCAAGUCGAACGGAAAGGCCCUGCUUUUGUGGGGUGCUCGAGUGGCGAACGGGUGAGUAACACGUGAGUAACCUGCCCUUGACUUUGGGAUAACUUCAGGAAACUGGGGCUAAUACCGGAUAGGAGCUCCUGCUGCAUGGUGGGGGUUGGAAAGUUUCGGCGGUUGGGGAUGGACUCGCGGCUUAUCAGCUUGUUGGUGGGGUAGUGGCUUACCAAGGCUUUGACGGGUAGCCGGCCUGAGAGGGUGACCGGCCACAUUGGGACUGAGAGACGGCCCAGACUCCUACGGGAGGCAGCAGUGGGGAAUAUUGCACAAUGGUCGGAAGCCUGAUGCAGCAACGCCGCGUGCGGGAUGACGGCCUUCGGGUUGUAAACCGCUUUCGCCUGUGACGAAGCGUGAGUGACGGUAAUGGGUAAAGAAGCACCGGCUAACUACGUG